CCUACGGGAGGCAGCAGUGAGGAAUAUUGGUCAAUGGUCGGGAGACUGAACCAGCCAAGCCGCGUGAGGGAUGAAGGUACAGAGUAUCGUAAACCUCUUUUGUCAGGGAACAAAGGCGGGGACGUGUCCCCGGAUGAGUGUACCUGAAGAAAAAGCAUCGGCUAACUCCGUGCCAGCAGCCGCGGUAAUACGGAGGAUGCGAGCGUUAUCCGGAUUUAUUGGGUUUAAAGGGAGCGUAGGCGGGCGUUCAAGUCAGCUGUAAAAUCGCGCGGCUCAACCGCGCCCCGCAGUUGAAACUGGACGCCUUGAGUGCACGACAGGCAGGCGGAAUGCGUGGUGUAGCGGUGAAAUGCAUAGAUAGCACGAAGAACCCCGAUUGCGAAGGCAGCCUGCCGGGGUGCGACUGACGCUGAGGCUCGAAGGUGCGGGUAUCAAACAGGAUUAGAUACCCCAGUAGUC
rnacentral:rRNA from 1 species